AAUCACCCCAGGCCUCAAAACUGUCCAAAACUCCUUUUGUCUUCUAAAAAAUCCAAAACAGCUUUUCUCUGCUCUUCUCUGCUUUUCUCACAAGAUGCUGUGGCAAAAGGCAAAAUGUUACUUUUAAAGGCUAAUGAAUAGGCUCUGUUCAUAGCAGGCCUGAGAAACUGAAUCUUAUCUCAUUCGGUUGCAACAUCUUGGACAUGCUGAACCACCAGGGCUCCUCGACCCACCCCCUCGGCUUCUCAUUCCCCCUUUCCUGGGAAGGGUGCCAAGAGUCCACUAGUCCCAAGACAGCUUUCUGUUCAUGCUCAGAGGAACUCAUGGGCAGGACUCCUGAGGGAGGAGAAAGGAGGAGGGAACUGGAAAGGGGUAUAUAUGCUUGUGCACAGGACUGUGA